UUCAUAUUGAAUCUCUAUGUCAGUUUCAUUCCUGUUGUUUUGUCUCCAAUUCAACUAUAUAUUGUACGUUUCGUGAUUCAGUGGUUUAUCGUCAUUAAUAGUCAUCUUACUCCUUUUAGAUCCACGCCAUCCACGAUUACACAUUCAAUCCUUCUCGACUCCCUUCCCGUGUCGGUGAGAAAUUUUCCUAUAUAAAGCGUGGUGGUGUGCCUCCUCAGGUUGAGAGAAGCCAGAAGCGAGCUCAUGGGUGACUCUAAGGCGACACUUAUGCCAACAACCGUGAACCAUCCCAGCGUCUUCUUGGCGAGCAGCUCGAUCCC